rnacentral:rRNA from 1 species
UACGAAGGGGGCUAGCGUUGUUCGGAAUUACUGGGCGUAAAGCGCACGUAGGCGGUUUUCCAAGUUGGAGGUGAAAUCCCUGGGCUCAACCCGGGAACUGCCUCCAAAACUGGAUGACUCGAGUCCGAGAGAGGUGAGUGGAAUUUCCAGUGUAGAGGUGAAAUUCGUAGAUAUUGGAAAGAACACCAGUGGCGAAGGCGGCUCACUGGCUCGGUACUGACGCUGAGGUGCGACAGCGUGGGGAGCAAACAGG